rnacentral:rRNA from 1 species
UCCUGGCUCAGAGCGAACGCUAGCGGCGAGCUUAACACAUGCAAGUCGAGCGGAGGGUUUCGGCCCUCAGCGGCGGACGGGUGAGUAACACGUAGGUUACGUGCCCUUUGGUGGGGAAUAACUUAGGGAAACCUGAGCUAAUACCGCAUAUGCCCUUCGGGGUGAAAGUCUUCGGACGCCAGAGGAUCGGCCUGCGGCCCAUUAUUUAAUCCUUGUUGGUGGGGUAACGGCCUACCAAGGGUACGAUGGGUAGCUGGUCUGAGAGGAUGAUCAGCCACACUGGGACUGAGACACGGCCCAGACUCCUACGGGAGGCAGCAGUGGGGAAUAUUGGACAAUGGGGGAAACCCUGAUCCAGCUACGCCGCGUGGGUGAUGAAGGCCUUCGGGUUGUAAAGCCCUGUCGAGGGGGACGAAGUUCUGACGGUACCCCUCAAGAAAGCACCGGCUAACUCCGUG